rnacentral:rRNA from 1 species
AAUGAACGCUGGCGGCAUGCCUAACACAUGCAAGUCGAACGAGACCUUCGGGACUAGUGGCGCACGGGUGCGUAACGCGUGGGAACCUGCCCUUAGGUUCGGAAUAACUCCCCGAAAGGGGUGCUAAUACCGGAUAAUGUCUUCGGACCAAAGAUUUAUCGCCUUUGGAUGGGCCCGCGUUGGAUUAGCUAGUUGGUAGGGUAAAAGCUUACCAAGGCGACGAUCCAUAGCUGGGCUGAGAGGAUGAUCAGCCACACUGGGACUGAGACACGGCCCAGACUCCUACGGGAGGCAGCAGUGGGGAAUAUUGGACAAUGGGCGAAAGCCUGAUCCAGCAAUGCCGCGUGAGUGAUGAAGGCCUUAGGGUUGUAAAGCUCUUUUACCCGGGAUGAUAAUGACAGUACCGGGAGAAUAAGCUCCGGCUAACUCCGUG